ensembl:lncRNA
GCGUAGAGUAUACAUAGGGUAUGCAAGUAUACAAGUAUAUGAGCAAUGCAUACAGAGCAUGCAUGCAGUGCUUGCACUUAUUUUGGAGCACAAAACACAUCACUAACUUCACCUACUCGUUUUGAGACAAUCCGUAAACUGAACUCACUGCUGAAGGAAGAAGAACCUACAGAGCUGACAAAGAGGGCCUCAGUGGCCCCCCAAAAAUAUGGGGACUAUUCAGAUUGCUCAACUGAUAUUGAAACUCAGUCUCAGCAAGCAAAGAAGUCAAAGGCUCCCAGGAGGAUAGACCCUGCAGAAGAGUUUCUUAGGCUAUACGGUCAAUCACAGCCUUCUUCAGAUAAUCACAACAGUCCGACUCAGACUGUGGUUGAAUUAAAGCAGGAGAUCAAGGACCUGAAAGAAGAGAACGCGAAGUUGAAGGAGAUUGUUCUUCAAGAUGUGCCAGGACUCCUACUGAGCUUGAGGAAUAUAAUAGAUUCGGCUGCACCUCCUAAGAGAUCCAGGGUGGAGCCUACCAAAGCAUUACCGGCCCUUCCAGGGUCUCCGCAGUCCAGGUCCAGUUCUCCAUGUGCCACUUCGCUGUCCCUCCCCAGAUCUACGCUGUCCAGUUCCACAUCUGUGUCUCCAUCCCUGACUGCCUCCCAUUCUUCUAAGGUUGAGAUCCAUCCUGGGACCGGAGUCAUGGUUGAGAAACUGGCGUGGGCCUAUGCCAUCAAUGCCAAUUCGGCAACAGUCUUUGUGAGACAUCUGCUCACCGCAGUCUUUCCAGUGGAAAUACUGCUGGUGAGCAAUCUUCGGGGGAACAAACGAGGCGGAGGAGAGGCUCGUCAACCAUUAGACAAAAAUAAAUUGGAUGCCAUUUACAGUGCAACUCUUGAGAAGUGGCCUGGGACCCAGCUUUCCAGCAGUGGAAGUACGAUCAAUGCCAAGAUUACAGAACUCCGGUCAAAAAGUAAAAAUGCUGGUGUGUACACAGCUCCACAUUAA